CUCAAACCAUUUUCGUCCGUUCAUCGGUAAAGAAAUCAUCCCGAUGCUUUGGUGGAUUGAGUUUCACCAGCCAAAAGCAUGAAUUUUAAGUCAUAAGAACCUCUUUACAACUUGUCAUCAACAAAGCGUUGAGCCUUGUCAUGAGCCUCUUGAGAGGUGCUCUUGUCCUCGUCAGAGGUAAAAGCAGAGGCGACCUUGUCGUAGGCACCAGUAAUGGAUUCCUUGGCCUUGUCGAGGGUAGACUUGGAGGAGUCAGGAGUCAUUUUCUCCUUGCCUUGUUCAGUAAAAGACUUUCUUGCGGGAUCAGACAUUUUGAAUAUUUAAGACAAUUAAAUUGAUUGGAAUUGAAUUGAAUGAUUAAACUGUUGAACUUGGACUCGUAUUUAUAGCUUCUUGUCCAAUUGCUCAUGUCAUUAUGAUCGCAGCCCAUUACAUCACAUUUGCGUCAGUUAGCAUUAGAAACUGGAGAAAACUGCGAUCCAAGGAAUUACGUAGUUUUCUAUCAGAUAGCUCGCUAUCCAAUCAGACAAAUAAUGAGCAGCUUCUAGCAAAGCCCCUUUUCUUCGCACCAUUCGUUUUCUGAGCUACGUAAGCUAUUUCCAAUGAGCGCCCACUCUACUUUCUUAUGAUGUAAUACAGAAGCUUUGUGGAUUUGCAAAGCGAGAUAGCGAGUACGGUAAAACCCUCGCUAGGUUAGAGGUUCAAAGUGGAGAGAAGCGAAGUGGUGGUACUAGUUCAAAGAGAGAGAGAGAGAGAAAGAGAGGAAGAAGGGGAAGUGCAUCUUGUCUUUAGAGUGAGUAUCCCUUAGGAAACAAACUUAUUUCUGUAAAUAAAUUUUAAGAAGUUUUCUUUGUCUUUUAAAAUUCCGAAGUAUUCUUUGCAUGAUGGUGUUGUUAUUGGGUGAUGAAAUUUUGAUCUAAAUAGGGGAACUUCACUUGUUGAAAAAAAAAACAAUUAGAGCAAAAACAAUAACACUUUGCAAAACGUUAUUUAAAAGAUAACCACAACCAUGUUCAAAGUGAGUAUGGCUUAGUAGAGGCAAUCUCAUUCAGGUAUUACACACACUGCGCACAAUAACACAAUUGUUUCAACGCCGCACGUAUUGCAUGCGAUACAUCGUGAAAUUCCGUUAUAAGCAGGGAAUAUUACGAGAUGCUGCAAACUGCGGAUUACACAACUACGCAAUAGAGAGUUGGUAAACCAUUAUUUUGUUAGACGAACUGCAAUGAUGGUUUUGUUAAAUCAAUAAUAAGGAGAAGUAAGGUGUAGCUAAAGACCAUUUAUAAUCUUUUAGGAAGCGUAACCCAAGGUGUGUAACCCGAAGUAGAGAAGAAAAGAUGAUACGUGAGAAAUGUGAGAUGAGAACAUGAGCAAAAGUAGGAAUGGCUCGAC